UGGCAUCAGGUGAACUGGAUUGCACUGCUCUGUGACCUUGGUUCCAUGCCCUUGUCCACCUCCUCUCACACUCUCAGUGAAUCCAGAUGAAUUCCAGAAUAUGUUCCAGUUGCUGUUGGCUGGAGGAAAUCACCUCCUUCCUAGGAAAGCACCAAGGAUGUGGUGUGGGGCAGAGCAGGCUGAACUCCACAAAGGGAAGGGAAACCCCUUAACACCAUUUGCCCGGGUAGACUUUUGAAGGACUUCAGGCACUGCUGUUCCUUCCCUGAAUUGCUGAGAAAAUGCCUAAGACAGCAGGGCAAUGAAAGCUGAAGAAAGGGCACAAGUGGGACAGACAGAAACAUACCCAAAUGAUAAAGAAGUUUUAUACAAUUUAGAUGAGGAACCUAAGGCAUCAUUAGUUGGAGGUGCUUGCCUGAGCUCAGUGCCCAGCCCCCUCUCUGCCAGGUCCCGGGAACCUGAGUCCUCCUCUGCAAGGAACUCCCAGUCCAGCAGCGUCGCUUCUCUCACAGUGGUGAUGUCAUCCUUUCAGAUGAGAGUCAGGACCCUCAAGGAAUUGUGACAAUCAAGAAGACCACUUCUACCGAGGCGGGUGGAUCACGAGGUCAAGAGUUCGAGACCAGCCUGGCCACCAUGGUGAAACCCCGUCUCUACUAAAAAUACAAAAAUUAGUGGUGGUGCACACUUGUAAUCCCAGCUACUCGGGAGACUACCACUUCUAUAUUCAUCAACAGAUUUAAAGGAGGGGAACAUGUGCUCAGAUUUAUAAAGGUUGAUAAGGCAUCCAAUAAAAUUCAGCAGGCUUUCCUAAUAAAAUUCUGAAGAAGAAUAGAAGGAAAUAGCUAAAUAUGAUAAGUAUUAUUUGUCAAAAACCAACACCAAAUAUUACCAAUGGUGAUAUGUUAAAACAUUUUCAUUUAAAUCUGAAGCAAGGCAAGGGUAUCCACUAUCUCCAUUAUUAUUCAACAUCAUUUUGGAGGUGCUAACAGGUUCUAUAAGAUAAGAAAGUGAAAUAACUUGUACAGGUUGAGCUUCCCUCAUCUCAAAACCUGAAAUCUGAAGUGUCCCAAAUUCUGAAAAUUGUUGAGCACUGACAUGUCGCCACAAGUGGAGGAUUCCAUACAGAAGUACUGAACACAAAUUUUAUUUCAUGCAUAAAAUUAUUUAAGAUAUUACAUAAAAUUAUUUUUAGGCUAUGUAUAUAACGUGUGUAUGAAACAUAAAUGAAUUUCAUGUUAGAUUUUAGUUCCAUCACCAAGAUAUCUCUUAUAUAUAUGCAAAUAUUCCAAAAUAUAAAAAAAGUCUGAAAUCUGAAACACUUCUGGUGCCAAGCAUUUUGGAUAAGGUAUACUCAACUUGUAUAAAAUUUUGGAAGAGAAGAGAUAAAAUUGCCCUUUUGGCCAAUGCCAUAAUUGCAUCUAGAAAACCCAAAUAUUCUAGAGUUGGUAGCACAGGUAUGUGAAUACUGUCCUUGGAGGUGUGUGCAGCACACUGGCAUUGGCUGAAACAUGUGUGUAGUGGCUAGACAUGGGAACUCAGGUGACAGCCUCUCAGUGGACAAAUGGCAGAAUGAGUAGAGUGGAAGCAUACCAUGGAAUAUUGGGCAGUCAUUAAACAGAAUGAGUCAGAUCGAUACUACCUGACUCAAAGGGAUUUCCAGGAUGCAUUGUGAAAUUAGGAAGGUAAGGUGCAGAGAAAUUUGUGUAGCAAAGCCCCAUUUUUGUGACAUAACCUAUGCUCCCAUGUUUGAAUGAGCAUGAAGAAAGGUACUGGAGGAUACAUGCCAAGGAGGGAGAUGGGGAAGUGAGGCCAACCAAGCCAAACCAGACCAGACCAAAUGAGAUCAGACCAGAUCAAACUAGACCUGACCAGAGCAGACCAGAUCAGACCAAACAAAACUACACCAGACCAGACCAACUAGUCCUGUCCAGAUCAGACCAAGUCAAACCAAACCCAAACACAACAGACUGUUAAAGUGUCCCUGAUUAAGCAACUUGAGUGACAUCCCUUUUAUGUUAUGCAUGUGUGUGUCUGUAUGUAGAUGCAUAUAAUCAUAGAUGAAAUGAUGGUCAUUGAAUUAUUGAUGGUGACAACUCAGUGUAUGGGAUCUCAGGUGAUUUUUAUUUCCCUUGAGCUUUUUAUAUUAAAAAAUACAGAGCGUAUGUAUUAUUUACAUAAUUAGGAAAAAAUGGAAAAAGUGUUUUUCAUUGCAGAAUGAUUUUUAGAAAAGGGAGGGAAAAAAAGAACCUUACUGUUCUGCAAGUGGCAGUAUAAGGGGGCCACUCUUCUUGGUGGCCCUUCUGCAGCCCACUUUGGUGAGGUGUAUCUAUCCCAGAGCCCACUGGGGAAUGCAGAGGCUGAACACUGACUGCGUAGACCAGACCUCAGGGACCUUCAUGCACACAGUAUGUUUCUGGGCUCCAACCACAUUGUAGUACAUCUUCUGUGUCUCUGGCUUCUGCCCUGAGCCUCUUCCCAGAAAUUUCAGGAGAGAGACUGGGAGGGACUGUAGGAAGCAGAGUGAGCUCGAAGUCCUCUUCCAGGACAGGAAACCAAGUCCUGCUGUGGCCACACAGAAACGAAAAGAUAAAGUUGAUCGGGGCACAGGACCGAGUCAUUCCUAAGGGAGCUCACAUUUUCGCAUAUUGAUGCAUAAGAAGAAUCUCUAGUUACACUGGUGUAAUUCUCCAGGCUUUUCUCUUCUCUGGUUCGAAACUGCUCUGGAUCACGUGGCUUUCCAGGGAGACCUGUGGGAUUAAGAAGAGAGUGGGCCUACAACCCCAUUUCCAGUUGUCUACUAUAGAAAACAAAGUACAGGCUCUCAUCUGAAUCUGUGGGCAGAGUCUGGCUGGGCUCUCUAUAAUCCUUCCCUGGUCUUCCCUGGCUCUGUAACUAAGAGUUGAGCACUUCCACACUCUCUCCCCACAAGUCUUGAUGCUGGAAAGGAAAGCAUUGCAAAGCCACAGCUCAGUGUUGCAGCUUUGUUUUCACGCAAAUCUUAAACUCUCUUUGUUCUCACCUCUGUCAUCCCUUUACUUUUAUUUACCUGAUGCUAGGAAAGAGUUAGGUCUAAUGGCUGAGACAUGAAAAAUGUCAAAGACCAGCAUGAGAACUAGGCCCAGGGGUGCCUCUUCCAGUCUCUUUCUCAAGUAGCUUUCUCAGUUUUGGGGGACAUUGACGAAGUCUCCCACAAUAUCUUACACUAAGUAGUUGUUUGAUAAAUAUGUAUUGAAGUAAGGUCUUUAUCUCCCCCAAUACCGCAUGUGAGAGGCCACGAAUAAACCUGCCUGCUUCACUCACAUGUCAGCACGGGCUUGUUUAUCUGGUUAACUCACAGACCUAUCCAUCUGUUAGAAUAGCUGGGCGUUGUGGCGGGUGCCUGUAAUCCCAGCUACUUGGGAGGCUGAAGCAGGAGAAUCGCUUGAACCCAGGAGGCAGAGGUUGCAGUGAGCCGAGAUCAUGCCACUGCACUCCAGCCCGGGCAACAAAGCAAGACUCCAUCUCAAAAAAAGAGAAAAGUCCCCUUUCAUUCUCUGGAACUCCUUAGGCCCUGAUAGAAUGAGUCAAGGGCAGACAUCUUUUGAGGCCUGGGGCAGUGGGGGGAGGACAAGCAGGGAGGGAGUGGUAGAUCCAGAGAGGCCCUGCCACAGAGAAAGGUAGAAGGGAAUGGAGUCAGGAAAGGUGGAGGAAAGCCCUUCAAUAAAGCUUGGGGGACCUCAAAGAUAGCCAGUGAUAAUGGCAACAAUAAUAUGAUAAUUGCCACUGGGCAAGGAUUGGAAGAUAAAUCAUUUUCUCUCUUGCUCUCCAGGGGAUGUUUAUGGAUUGCUUUUUCUUUUACUUUUCAGUGUUCAGGCCCAGGAACAGUAGGAAGGGAUCCCUGGGCCAAUGCCACAUGCAUUGGUUCUGGGCUGUCAUGCCUGGGUUGCUGUGUCUUUCAGUAGGAGAUAAUUGGGUAAGGUGGGAGGAAGGGCCUUGCACACCUAACAAGGCAGGGGCCCUUGUACGGACAGCUGGGCAGGGAUAAGGGAGGUUUAGGAGAGGCUAGGGCAGCAAAGAAGUUCACUGUUACAAAACCAGAGAGGUAGAUUGAGCCUGAGCCCCGAGCCAUGGGCCAAGCCCUUUCAACACCACUCUAGCUGGCCUGGGGAAAGGGGUUCAUUUCUGGCGCCAGCCCAGGUCUGAGCAGCCUAGGUUCAGGGUGAGUUCAGGUUAUACUGCCUGCUUUCCUGCUCUGGGCCCCUCCCCAGCAGGACUGGCUGGCCUGCAGACCUGCAGAGAGUCAGGCCCACCUCCUCCCUGGGGACAGGGCUACCCUGACCUGUGGCUCCCUGUGCACCUUGUCUUUGUGACCCAGUGUAAGCUAUUCUGGGUGGGGCCUCCAUCUCUUCUCAGGCCUCCUCAGCACUUAGCAAGGUGUCUCCUACACAGGUGAUCUCAGAACCAGCUUUGAGGUCAUACAGACUUGGUUGCAAAUUCUGCCUCUGCCUUGAAUCAGCUAUGUAGCCAUAAGCCGGAGGAAUUCUCUGAGCCUCAGUUUUCUAGCCUGUAAAUCAGCAAUAAAUGCUUCUAAGAGCAGUUGUGAGGACUGAAUGAAGUAAUGCACGUGAUGCGCUUGCAGCUCAGUGCUGGACACACACAUGAUGGCCACCAAGCCUAGAAACAGGUCUUAUCAC
rnacentral:lncRNA from 1 species